UGGGGGGAAACCCUUGAUCCCAGCCCAUCCCCGCGGGGUAUGAUGAAAGGCCUUUCGGGGUUGUAAAAGUACUUUUUGGCAAGAGAAGAAAAAGGUAUCCCCUUAAUACGGGGAUACUGGCUGACGGGUAUCUGCAAGAAUAAGCACCGGGCUAAAUUACGUGCCCAGCAGCCCGCGGGUAAUACGGUAGGGGUGCCAAGCGUUUAUCGGGAAUUACUGGGGCGUAAAAGCGUGUGUAGGCGGUUUCGGAAAGAAAAGAUGUGAAAUCCCCAGGGCUCAACCUUGGAACUGCAUUUUUAACUGCCGAGCUAGAGUAUGUCAGAGGGGGGUAGAAUUCCACGUGUAGCAGUGAAAUGCGUAGAUAUGUGGAGGAAUACCGAUGGCGAAGGCAGCCCCCUGGGAUAAUACUGACGCUCAGACACGAAAGCGUGGGGAGCAAACAGGAUUAGAUACCCUGGUAGUCCACGCCCUAAACGAUGUCAACUAGCUGUUGGGGCCGUUAGGCCUUAGUAGCGCAGCUAACGCGUGAAGUUGACCGCCUGGGGAGUACGGUCGCAAGAUUAAAACUCAAAGGAAUUGACGGGGACCCGCACAAGCGGUGGAUGAUGUGGAUUAAUUCGAUGCAACGCGAAAAACCUUACCUACCCUUGACAUGUCUGGAAUCCCGAAGAGAUUUGGGAGUGCUCGCAAGAGAACCGGAACACAGGUGCUGCAUGGCUGUCGUCAGCUCGUGUCGUGAGAUGUUGGGUUAAGUCCCGCAACGAGCGCAACCCUUGUCAUUAGUUGCUACGCAAGAGCACUCUAAUGAGACUGCCGGUGACAAACCGGAGGAAGGUGGGGAUGACGUCAAGUCCUCAUGGCCCUUAUGGGUAGGGCUUCACACGUCAUACAAUGGUCGGGACAGAGGGUCGCCAACCCGCGAGGGGGAGCCAAUCUCAGAAACCCGAUCUAGUCCGGAUCGCAGUCUGCAACUCGACUGCGUGAAGUCGGAAUCGCUAGUAAUCGCGGAUCAGAAUGUCGCGGUGAAUACGUUCCCGGGUCUUGUACACACCGCCCGUCACACCAUGGGAGUGGGUUUCACCAGAAGUAGGUAGCCUAACCGUAAGGAGGGCGC
rnacentral:rRNA from 1 species